rnacentral:rRNA from 1 species
GAUGAACGCUAGCUACAGGCUUAACACAUGCAAGUCGAGGGGCAGCAUGGUCUUAGCUUGCUAAGGCCGAUGGCGACCGGCGCACGGGUGAGUAACACGUAUCCAACCUGCCGUCUACUCUUGGACAGCCUUCUGAAAGGAAGAUUAAUACAAGAUGGCAUCAUGAGUCCGCAUGUUCACAUGAUUAAAGGUAUUCCGGUAGACGAUGGGGAUGCGUUCCAUUAGAUAGUAGGCGGGGUAACGGCCCACCUAGUCUUCGAUGGAUAGGGGUUCUGAGAGGAAGGUCCCCCACAUUGGAACUGAGACACGGUCCAAACUCCUACGGGAGGCAGCAGUGAGGAAUAUUGGUCAAUGGGCGAGAGCCUGAACCAGCCAAGUAGCGUGAAGGAUGACUGCCCUAUGGGUUGUAAACUUCUUUUAUAAAGGAAUAAAGUCGGGUAUGUAUACCCGUUUGCAUGUACUUUAUGAAUAAGGAUCGGCUAACUCCGUGCCAGCAGCCGCGGUAAUACGGAGGAUCCGAGCGUUAUCCGGAUUUAUUGGGUUUAAAGGGAGCGUAGAUGGAUGUUUAAGUCAGUUGUGAAAGUUUGCGGCUCAACCGUAAAAUUGCAGUUGAUACUGGAUAUCUUGAGUGCAGUUGAGGCAGGCGGAAUUCGUGGUGUAGCGGUGAAAUGCUUAGAUAUCACGAAGAACUCCGAUUGCGAAGGCAGCCUGCUAAGCUGCAACUGACAUUGAGGCUCGAAAGUGUGGGUAUCAAACAGG